rnacentral:tRNA from 1 species
GGGGCCUUAGCUCAGUUGGAGAGCGCCUGCCUUGCACGCAGGAGGUCAGCGGUUCGAUCCCGCUAGGCUCCACCA